ACGGGAGGCAGCAGUGGGGAAUAUUGGACAAUGGGGGAAACCCUGAUCCAGCGACGCCGCGUGAGUGAAGAAGUAUUUCGGUAUGUAAAGCUCUUUAAGCAGGGAAGAAAAUGACGGUACCUGCAGAAUAAGCCCCGGCUAACUACGUGCCAGCAGCCGCGGUAAUACGUAGGGGGCAAGCGUUAUCCGGAUUUACUGGGUGUAAAGGGAGCGUAGACGGCAAUGCAAGUCUGAAGUGAAAUCCCGUGGCUUAACUGCGGAAUUGCUUUGGAAACUGUAUAGCUAGAGUGUCGGAGAGGUGAGUGGAAUUCCCAGUGUAGCGGUGAAAUGCGUAGAUAUUAGGAGGAACAUCAGUGGCGAAGGCGGCUUACUGGGCUUUAACUGACGCUGAGGCUCGAAAGCGUGGGGAGCAAACAGGAUUAGAUACCCUGGUA
rnacentral:rRNA from 1 species